rnacentral:lncRNA from 1 species
GUUUAUUUUAGGUUCAGGGAUACAUGUGCAGGUUUGUUAUACAGGUAAACUCAUAUCAUGGGGAUUUGCUGUGCAGAUUAUUUUGUCAUCCAAGUACUAAGCCUAGUGACCAGUACUUUUUUUUUUUUGAUCUAGUGAACACCUAUUAUGUGCCAGGCAUUGCAUUAGUGGCAGGUGGUACCAAGGGGAAGAAAAUAGAGGCCUUCUCAACUCUCAUGGAACUUAUUGUUUAUUGGGGAGUUGAGCCUUAAGCAAAUAAGCAUAAAAUUACAAAUUGCUGUAAAAAUUAGGGAAGGAAGGAAUAUGGAACUAUUAGGGGAGGACCUAAUUUAGAUUAAAGCAAUCCUUUUGAAGAAAUGACAUUAAGCAGACACUGGAAAGAUGAGAAAGAGAUUGCUAGGCAAGGGGGUGGGCGAAGAGGCAUUUUGGGAGGGGAAGAAAAUAUAAAUAAAAUAAAGUUUUUUUCUUUUAGCUUGAGAAGAGAAGGGUAUGGUGCCUUCAAGGAACUGGAAGAAAACCAUUAUUGCUGGUGGUGAGUGUGCAGGGAGAGAGGACUGCAGAGGGCUGCCCAUGAAGAGAUUUAUUGGACCAGGCUAGGGAUUUUGAAUUUGAACCCAAGCAUAAAGGGAAGCCAUUGAGAAGUUUAAGUAGAUGAGUGAUGGAGAAUGGAUGGGAGGGGAGUGAGAGUGUGUCGGGGGAAACCAUUACAAAGCCAGUUGCAGUAAUUCAGAUGAGCCAGGGUAGUUAAGAUAGAAGUGGAUGGAAUUGGGAUAAUUUUGGAGAAUGUCUUUAUUGCACCUGGUAAUACAUAGCUGUGGUAAGGAUGGGGAGGACAGGAAUAGAGAAGAAUUAAAGAUGAUUCUUGAGAUAGGCAAAAUAAUGGCCCUACCAAAGGUGUCCACGUCCUAACCCCCAGAACCUGUGAAUACAUUACCUUCCAUGGCAAAAGAAACGUUACAGAUGUGAUUAAAUUAAAGAUAUUAAGAUGGGGAGAUUAUCCUGGAUUAUCUGGGUGGACCCAAUAUAAUCAUAAGGGUCCUUAGAAGGAGGAAGGAGUGUCAGAGUCAGAAAAGGCAAUGGGAUAGUGGAAGCAGAGACGGAGAUUGGAAGAUGCUAUGCUGCUGUCUUUGAAGAUGAAGGAUGGGGCCAUGAGCCAAGACAUGCAUGUGGCUUCUAGAAGCUAGAAAAGGCAAAGAAAUUGAUUGUUUCCAAAUGGUGAGUGAUGGUGCUAGCAUUUGCAGCUAUGGUUGUUUCUACUGUGUUGUGCUGUCUUCUGGGAUUAUGUCACCAACUAUCAAUACCCUACUACCGAUGUUGAUCAGAAAUAAAGAUUCUGGGCUGGGUGCUGGGGAUGAUUGUUCUGAAAAGAGCUGGUGCACCAAGCCCUUGAUGUAGUUCAGCAGCUUCAUCCGUUGUCGGACACAGCUGUUUCUGCUACACCAUUCCUCUGCUCUGUUCAUGGUGGUGAGGGGUUUUUUUUGCACCAGCAUUUGCAGCUUUUAUGAAGCUCCCAUAGGUAACUGUUUAUUUCAGCCCUUCUCUUGGUUCCUGAGAAAGAGGGGAACAAAUAGCACCAGUGAGUGAAUUGGAAAGCAUUUGAGUGACACUACCCAGAUUUGCACCUAGAAGUGUCGUCACUGGUUAUGAUCCAGUGUCUCAAGCCCCUAAAUUACCCGCUGUGGGGGAAGUUGCUAUUAUUGGGGGCAGUCUUUAACGGAGUUUAGGUGUUUACCAUGAAGAAAGUCAUGAAGAUGGAGAGCUAGAAAAGUUCCUAGCACUUGGGAGAGCCUGGAUGGCAUGAAUUAUUUUUUCCAUUUUUUUAAACCCCAGCAUCCCUGGAUUUGCCUUGGGAGGUCUUGUAGUCCAUGGACUCACUUGUAGGUGACUCACUGAUUUUGUCACUGGCUUAACCAAUAUUUAUUGAGCCUCAGCUUGUGUGUUGAGAAUUGUGCUAGGUGUGGGUUUACAGCUACCUAUGAGUAAGGCAGACAGACCUAACCUUGCUGAGAUUAAAAUCUAAUUUACAAAAGGACUACCCAAGGUGUUACCAGGGACAUGCUGACAAGAUUUUUUCCUACGCUCUGUCGUCCAGGCUAGGGUACAGUGGCACAAUCUCGGCUGACUGCAACCUCCACCUCCUAGGUUCAAGGGAUUCUCAUGCCUCAUCCUCCUGAGUAGUUGGGGUUACAGGCACAUGCCACCACGCCUGGCUAAAUUUUGUGUUUUUUAGUAGAGAUGGGGUUUCACCAUGUUGCCCAGGCUGGUCUUGAACUCCUCCCCUCAUGUGAUCUGCUCACCUUGGCCUCCCAAAGUGCUGGGAUUACAGGCGUGAGCCACUGUAUCUGGCCGCUGUAGAGAUUCUUGAUACACCAGGAAUGAAAGCCUAGUCCUCAAUCUCUGUGCAAGGGGUACUGCUGCUGAGGGCAUAUUUUGGAAGUGUGUGUGUCUAUGUGUGAAUGUGUACACAUGUGGUCAUCAUAAUGAUAGGGGUUGUUGCUGGCAUUUGGGGUCGGGGAGGGAUGCCAGACAUAAUGAAAUGCAUGAUACAGUCCUGGACAUCAAGGAAUUGUCCUGUGUUCCACAUGACUUUUGAACCAUGAGCUAUUCAUGAAAGUGAAAAACCUGUUUAUAAUUACCUGAAUCUGGAAACGAGUUCUAAGUUAUGUAAAAACACAAAGUUUUUUUUUGUGUGUGUGCAAAGUUGUAACUGAAUUUUUUUAGGAAUGUAAUUGCUGUAUAAAUCAAGGAAGAUUGUACUUAAGCUUAUUUUGCCCAGAAUUUGAUCAAGGGUUGUUUAAAAAAUCCCAUCACCAACAACAUUGCUGCUCAUUGUAUUUAAGUCAGUGAUGUGCCCACGUUUAUCAGUCUCUCUUCAUUUGUACCUUUUUGCAUUCUCGCUGGUUUUGCAUAUAGAUGCAAUCAUUUGACUACUUCAUUACAUCUUCUGGUACAAUCAUACUCGAACAUUUCCAUAUUGAAAUGCAAAUAAUUUUAUUACAAGUUAUCUUUCCUUCUGUUUUUCUUUUACAUCUAUCAUUAACCUUUCUACACACUAUAGAUUAUAAUCAUAGAUAAUAUAAACUUCCCAUGCAUAGUUUCUUUAUCUUCUUUUCUUUUUUUUUCUUUGAGACGGAGUCUUG